UUGACUGCCCUGGAGACUGAUGCCAUCUGUCCACAGAACAGGUGCAGCAGAGACGCAGCAGGGAAAGCGCCCCCCACCCCGUUCCCCAGCCCUGACCGGGCAGGGCGCAGUUCUAGAGAUGGGAAACAGCUGAGCCUCACUCACCCAUGUGGCUCU
rnacentral:sRNA from 1 species